GACGAACGCUGGCGGCGUGCUUAACACAUGCAAGUCGAACGGAAAGGCACUGCUUUUGUGGGGUGAUCGAGUGGCGAACGGGUGAGUAACAGGUGAGUAACCGGCCCUAGACUUUGGGAUAACUUCAGGAAGCGGGGGCUACUCCCGGAUAGGAUCUGCUGUUGCAUGGUGGGGGUUGGAACGUUUCGGCGGGUGGGGAUGGACUCGCGGGUGAUGAGCUAGUUGGUGGGGUAGCGGAUGGCCAAGGCAUGGACGGGUAGCCGGCCUGGGAGGGGGGACGGGCUCAUGAGGACUGCGAGACGGACCAGUCUCCUAUAGUAGGCAGCAGUGGGGAAUAUGACACAACGGGCGGGAGCCUGAUGCAGCAACGCUGCGGGCGUGAUGACGUCCUGCUGGUUGUAAACCGCAUUCGCCUGUGACGACGCGUGACUGACGGUACUGGGUAAAGAAGCACCGGCUAACUACGUG
rnacentral:rRNA from 1 species